rnacentral:rRNA from 1 species
GAGAACGCUGCAGAAAUGUAGAACUCUUUGGACACUCGUGAACAGGUGGUGCAUGGUUGUCGUCAGCUCGUGUCGUGAGAUGUUGGGUUAAGUCCCGCAACGAGCGCAACCCUCGUUUUAUGUUGCCAGCACGUAAUGGUGGGAACUCAUGGGAUACUGCCGGGGUCAACUCGGAGGAAGGUGGGGAUGACGUCAAAUCAUCAUGCCCCUUAUGUCUUGGGCUUCACGCAUGCUACAAUGGCCGGUACAAAGGGCUGCAAUACCGCGAGGUGGAGCGAAUCCCAAAAAGCCGGUCCCAGUUCGGAUUGAGGUCUGCAACUCGACCUCAUGAAGUCGGAGUCGCUAGUAAUCGCAGAUCAG